GGAUGCGUUCUCCUCGCUCCUGCCAUGAACGUAAAGAAGACGACCAGGGUGGUGGUGAGGAUGAUGGGCCUUCCGUGCGUGCACUGCUGCGCACAUUUUUUUUAGGAUUUCAGUCAACAAUUUUUUUAACGAAAAUAACUAUUAGAAAUGUUCAUAAAUACCAAUGUAAUAUUUGACCUCGGAAAAUAAAUAGUUUUGGCACUGAGUAAGUUUUUAUUGCGCACAUAAUUUUUACCUACUAAUAAACCAGCGAUUGCUUAUGGUCAUACGUCGUGCUUUUUUGCAGAAAAGUCCCUCCGUUUCUGAGAAUUCAACCUGCAGUCCUCACCAUAAGUCAGCCCCGAACCGGUACAGGGAGGAAAAAAGAGAAAAAAAAAUAGCCCAGCCCGCACGACCUUCCUCCUCGAUCCCAUCUCGACCUCCAUCCCGCCGCCACCUCCCGCCGCCACCUCCUGCCUCGCCCCGCCCAGCCUCACCGCGCGCCGCCCGCCGCCGACGCGCCGCCCACCAGCCGCGCCCGCACCCAUCUCCCAUCGAUGCGCCACCAUCCCCUGUAUCCAUGCUCCGCCGUCUGAAUCCCGUCGUCGAGUCCCUCCCGCUCGCCGUGGCCAAUGAUCGCGUCGACCGGGACCGCGUCCCUCCCCAAACGGCGGCGAUGAUGGAGGGUGCCGCACUGCCGCCCAGCUCCUGACCGACGGAGUCGCCGGGUUCCCGCUCCUCGGGGCCAGCCCCUCCCCCGUGUCGGGUCGCGCAUCGGCUUGGAGGCCCCUCGGGGCUGCCGCCGGUGAGGGAGUCCUGCGCGGCCGUGAGGGCUGGGGACCAAGCGGCGGGGUCCGUGGUGCGUUCCUGUUGAGGGCUUGCUGGGGUUGGCAGGGAUCUGAGCCGCCGUCGAUGGAUUUCUCGCAGCUUGGCUACAUGUUGCUUCGGAUUUGGAAUGCUAUGAAGGAAGUGUUCUUCCCUUAUUUUUUAUGAAGGUAAGGUCUUGUUCUUGGAUUCCUACUGCUCUAGAUUGCUUGGCUGCUCUAAUUUAUCACUUCAUGGCCUUAUGCUCCACCAUUAUCUUUGAACACUUGAUACUUAUUUACUUUUCUUCGUUGGCUUCUUUUUGAUAGUCAUCUGAUUUAAAAAUGCUAGCAUGUGCCACUUUAGUAUCUUUCAGUUUCAGCAAACAUAUUGGAUUAUCUUGACAUAUGUUGGCAUUGACAAGAUAAUAUAGAUUGUCACUAUUAAUUUCAAUGUUCACGCUCCAUCCUAUUUAAAUUCCUAUUUGGAUGGAAGUCAACACACUAAGAACUGUAUGCUUGAUGAAUGAUGUUCACAGCAAUUACUCGAAUUUCUUCGUUUCCGCGGUAUAGUUAUGCAAGUUAAGUUCUGUUUGCUCAUGCAUUCACUUGUGCAGACUGAUGGUUAAUUGUGAACUAUGUAUAUUCUGUAGGUUCUUCUUAGUGAGAUCAAAACUAAGCACAAUCGUAUUUUCUCGAAUUGUACACAUGCUAUGAUUUUCAUGCUCUCUGUAGUAAUUAUGUUGAAUUCUCAUAAUUCCUUUUGCAUUAUUAUGCCAAACAAUUUGUAUGCUAAAAACAUACUUCAUAAUCCCAUCUCCCCGCGUCGUCCCGAUUUGUUCCAGCUGGGCACUGCCUCGGCUGCAAAGCGUGUGUUGUCCCACGAAGCAGGCCCUCCUUUGCAAGGCCGACGAGGAUAGCUUCAACUUCGCAGCCUAUUCUGGUCAAUGAUGUCAUUGAUAAUAACCAGGAAGUUUCACCGCUCAGUUCAUCCAGUUGAAUCCUUCUAUUGUAAUUCUAUUCCCUACCCUUUCUUACUUGUAGGAAAUUCAAGUGUGGUACACAUGUGAGUAUCUUCUCCUUCCCUCUGUUGUAUGCAUGUGGUCAUUUGUUAUCCCAAUUAAGAAUCAAGAUCCACUACAUUCUUGAAUAUUGAAGACUGUUUUAGUUGGUCCAGAUUAAACUUGAUAAAUACAAUUUCCUUGUUGGUUCCAUCUGAGUUGUAUUAAUGAUUUGGGCAGUUUUCAGUAAUCUUAAGCCGUCUUCAGAUUUUAGCUUCCUCAAUCAUUCUGAAUUAUUUAACCUCAGUAUGAGGUACAUGUCUUCCAAAGAUUAAUCCUGAGAAAUUUGUAGUUGAUCAGUUGGGUCUGUUUGAUUUGUUCAGUAGACUGCAGCAGCAGUCACCAUUGUUCAGAUCUAUUCUAAAGCUACAUUAUUAGCACUGCAAUAUCUUUGUUACUUCAACCAAAUAGUUCAGCCGUGUCUUAUUGAUUUGGACGGGUUCUUACUAAUCUUUAAGCCAACUUCAAAUUUUAGCCUGCUCGGUCAAUCUGGAUUAUUUAGUGUCAAUUUUGAUGCAUGUCUUUAAUAAAAUAAGAAACUGAUUUUGGGUGCUAAAAUAAACACUAAACACUACUUGCUCAUGGCGACUAUGUGUAGAAAGACGAUCACGGUGGAGAUCCCGACGGUCGACGUGAAGCCGGGGUGGAAGAAGGGCACGAAGAUCACCUUCCUAGAAGGAACGAUCUGAUUUUUUCGGUACAGUUAUGUGUUUCAAAAAGUUAUUGUGAUGUAAUUUUUAUAUUAACACUAUAAUCUAUGAAGUUAUGUUUCCAGACAUUUCACUUUUUGCAUCAGCUGAGGCACAUUUUAUUUUCAAAUAAUUUCUGAAGUAAAAGUUGUGAAUGAACUGCAUGAUGUUUCAUGUGUUCGAAUUACACUUGAAAUAAAAAAUUAGAUAGCAAGGUGCAGAGGAAAUGUGAGAAAAGUUGUCCAAAAACCGAAGAACCUUUUUUACUUUUCUUCCCAUUACAAGUUUGCUAUUUAUACUAUGCUUUAUUUUUACUAUAAUGUCAAAUUUAUCAUGUUUUAAGAUGAAUGGUAAAUCAAAUAAGGAAAAAACUAUGGUGGCCAGAUUUGGUAGCCCUUAGCCCUUAUCAUGUUUUUAUAUCCAAAAUACUGUUUGAUCCUUGUUCAAUCUUAUUUGCAGCGUAAACUAUGUACACUAAUCAUUAGACCAUCUUUGAAGAUCUGACGAACAAAAGCAGAAUGGUUCUUUCUAUACUGUUCGAACCACACCCCCUUUCGUUCUCUCCCAGGGAGUGGCUAGCGCGCAACACUGCCAUGCUCCUCUGCCGCGCAGUCAUCACAGGAUGGGACGGCGACCUCGCCUUCCUAUUCAAUGUUCUGUCGGUAGCGUCGUUCUCUGUCCAGGAGCAUCCGGACAGGGAGGUGCUCCCGCCAUGCGUCUAGGCAUGUACUGCAACGGCGACCACAUGGCUAAGAUGGCCAUUGCCAUCACCGAGUUCCGCGCUCUCUGUUCUUCAUUAAAUCCAGGUUUGUGGACACUACUUACCAGUUGGGAGAGAAACAUAAUUGAUGUGUAUGGAAUUGCAGAAUUGACACCCAUGACCUAUCAGUUCAACUAGAAGCAAAGAAUGUUUGACAUGCAAGGUUCUAUCAUGCCCAUAUCUUUCUGUUCGUCUCUUUAUUCUACAGAAACUGCCAAUUGUUACUGUAGCUUUCAUGCCUACCAGACAAAAUCAAAGGAAGGUGCUUUGUAUCUCAAGUGUUGUAGUGAAAGGAUUAUCCUAACAUAAGAGCUAUAUUUGCUUCAUAAAAAAUAUGUACAGUUGGUUCACACAACGCUUAGUAUGUUAUUGUUAGUUCGAUUUGAGUUUCUAUACCAUGCCAAGAGCUUUAAUAUUAAAAGGCACAUUCUCAUUUUAUAAGGAGCACUCCAAGUGUCAGUAUUAAAAACAGAUCAUGCUUUUUUCUGAAAUGAGAAAUGAGAAAUCAAUCCGUAUGGUUCUCCAAUUUCAUGGUACUAAAUUUAGAUAUAUUAGAGGUACUGUUAUGUUAGCUUCAAUUAGGUGACAGGAGCAUGCCAAGCUAGAUGAUCUAUAAGCCUUAUCAUAUCUUACAAUUAUCCACAUUGUUGCAGAAAAACUCAACCUUUUUCCCCAUGCCUAAAGUUAUCUGGGAAGAUUUCUCCAACUUCUUUCAGUGUACUCUUGGCACUAACUCCUGAAAAAUACUACUGAAAACAACAAUAAUUUUUUUUUCUUCACCAGAUGCGGAAACUAAAAGGCGAGUACCAUGGGAUCAUGAAGUAUAUAAAGCAAAGGAGGAGUUGUACCAUCUCCUCUCCGGCAAGAUUCUUUUUUUUGCUGGGGAAUGAACGAAUUGAAUGCAAGAUUGCAUUGUUACAAGGACAGAGAGUGGACCACCACCUUCAGUUUCUCAGAUUCCCUGUUUGCAUUCGCCAUUCUCAACAAGCACCAGGAUGUGGCUUUGGUUCUGCACAAACAAUAUCUUCAGUGGUUUCUAGAUCAAGCCCUAUGUUCUUUAUCUGAACAAUAGACAUUGUAAUUGUUCCAUCCAUUACCUCUGAAAGUCAAGAAUCGAAAGAAAAGUUAUUGGCAUAUCUCUGUCACCAAGGAAGGUUCGUUAGACAGAAAAAUGAUCUCUGGUUAUGUAUGAGAUGAUGCAAUGCACAUCUCUGAAUGAAGCACAACAGGAAUUUACAUCCUCUAAUGCUAACUGUUGAUCAUUCUUCUCUGAA